UUUAUAUAUAUCACUUCAUAUCGUUGAAAAAGGAAUUUUCUGUUUAUCUCAUUUAUAUAUUUCAGAUUUUUACUUUGAUUUGAUAUUAUUGCAAUUUAUUUAGUUUAUUUAGAAAAAAUAUUAAUUUUAAAAAUUAAAGAUUUAACUAUUUUUUUAAGAAAGACUUAUUAAUGCUAUUCAUCUUGAAUAAAUUCUUAUCUGUAAAUUCUGUUGUAAAUGGAUAGCAAAAUGUUUUUCUUUUGAAAGUUUCUCUUCUCAGAGGUGCAAAAAAAGAUUCUUAGUGGGAGUGAGUUGCAAGCUCUUUAAGCAAUUCCUAUAUCUGAAUUUUAAUCUAAUCAAAAGAUAUUUGAAUCAGAUUAUUUUGGAAAUUAAUAUUAACAACUCUCUUGGGACACUCAGCCCAAUUGAUUGGCCCCAGUGAUACAAACUGAAAAGACUUUGAGGCCAAUUUAUCCGACUGAUGAAACAAAUGUGUUGUGUGUAGCCAAUCAGAGAUUGUCUUUCAGUAGAUAUAAUAUAAAACUAUAUAAUAUACAUAGUUUUACAUACUAAUAAAAUAGUUUCAGGCACUUUAUCCUUUGUUUUCUACAUGCAUGCAUCAAUUUCAAUCUCAACAGAAAAAGUAUUUUGGUCUUUUUGGCUACACAUACCAAAACACUGUGUCUCAAAAGGGUUAGAGAUUUUGUCAAAUAACUUUAUAUUGCCAGCUAAAAUGGCUGCAUCCACUUUUAGUUCCCAAUGGAAACAGUAAUACACUUGCAUACAAUUAAUGAUAUGUACUCUGUAAUGUUACGAGUCAAUUGAAGGUAUGACUAGACUGUAGGCUGAAAGGCUAUUUGUUUAAACUAUUGUCCAUUACUCUGCUAUAUCAAAUCUGUCUUGCUGAAAUAGGUGAUGUUUCUGUUUCAUUGUUUACCAUUAUUUGUUUCACAAGAAGAUG